AGAGUUUGAUCCUGGCUCAGGAUGAACGCUAGCGGCAGGCCUAACACAUGCAAGUCGGGGGGCAGCAUGGCGUAGCGAUACGCUGAUGGCGACCGGCGCACGGGUGCGUAACGCGUAUGCAACCUGUCCGGCGCAGGGGGGUAGCCCGUCGAAAGGCGGGGUAAUCCCGCAUGAACCGGUACCGCCGCAUGGGGGUACCGGCAAAGUGGAGAUGCGGAGCCGGAGGGGCAUGCGUGCCAUUAGCUGGCUGGUGGGGUAACGGCCCACCAGGGCGAUGAUGGCUAGGGGGUCUGAGAGGAUGGUCCCCCACACUGGUACUGAGACACGGACCAGACUCCUACGGGAGGCAGCAGUGAGGAAUAUUGGUCAAUGGGCGGAAGCCUGAACCAGCCAUGCCGCGUGCAGGAAGGAGGCCCUACGGGUUGUAAACUGCUUUUACCCGGGAAGAAACCGCCCCCUGGGGGGGGCGUUGCCGGUACCGGGGGAAAAAGGAUCGGCUAACUCCGUGCCAGCAGCCACGGUAAUACGGAGGAUCCGGGCGUUAUCCGGAAUUACUGGGUUUAAAGGGUGCGUAGGCGGGGCCCUAAGCCGGCGGUGAAAUGCAGCGGCUCAACCGCUGGAAUGCCGUUGGGACUGGGGCUCUUGGAUACGGUCGGGGCGGGUGGAACUCGUGGUGUAGCGGUGAAAUGCAUAGAUAUCACGAGGAACGCCGGUAGCGAAGGCAGCUCGCCGGGCCGGUAUUGACGCUGAGGCACGAAAGCGUGGGGAUCGAACAGGAUUAGAUACCCUGGUAG
rnacentral:rRNA from 1 species